rnacentral:rRNA from 1 species
UACGGGGGGGGCAAGCGUUGUUCGGAAUUACUGGGCGUAAAGGGCUCGUAGGCGGCCAACUAAGUCAGACGUGAAAUCCCCCGGCUCAACCGGGGAACUGGCGCGGAUACGACCUUCCUGGAGGGGCGUAGGGGGACCUGGAACUUCCGGUGGAGCGGUGAAAUGCGUUGAGAUCGGAAGGAACGCCCGUGGCGAAAGCGAGGUCCUGGACGCCUACUGACGCUGAGACGCGAAAGCCAGGGGAGCGAACGGG